rnacentral:rRNA from 1 species
GAACGUCGUGAGACAGUUCGGUCCCUAUCUGGUGUGGGCGUUGGAUGAUUGAUGGGAGCUGCUCCUAGUACGAGAGGACCGGAGUGGACGAACCGCUGGUGUUCGGGUUGUCAUGCCAAUGGCAUUGCCCGGUAGCUACGUUCGGAACGGAUAACCGCUGAAAGCAUCUAAGCGGGAAGCCGGCCCAAAGAUGAGUCAUCCCUGACUUUUAAAGUCCGGAAGGGUUGUUAUAGACGAUGACGUUGAUAGGCAGGGUGUGGAAGCGUUGUAAGGCGUUAAGCUAACCUGUACUAAUUGCCCGAGAGGC